rnacentral:rRNA from 1 species
UACAGAGGGGGCAAGCGUUGUUCGGAAUUACUGGGCGUAAAGGGCGCGUAGGCGGUUCUGUAAGUCCCGCGUGAAAUCCCCCGGCUCAACUGGGGAACUGCGCGGGAAACUGUGGGGCUAGAGUUCAGGAGAGGGAAGCGGAAUUCCGGGUGUAGCGGUGAAAUGCGUAGAUAUCCGGAGGAACACCGGUGGCGAAGGCGGCUUCCUGGACUGACACUGACGCUGAGGCGCGAAAGCUAGGGGAGCAAACGGG